CCUUCAACUUUGAGGACAGCCCUGACCACCGGCCCAUCCUCCCUCCUCAGCCAUGUUGAUUGAGCACCUCGGUUUUCUGACGCUUCUCAAAGGGACUCGCAUUCCACUGGGCGAGUCAGAGAGCAGUUUCCAGAAAACCUACCGUACAGAUCUGAAGUUCUGCUGUGGAUCCCGUGUUGGUUCUGUCUGGGCCGAAGGCAGGACCCACUCUCACGAGGAACCACGCGGACCAACUCCCAGAAAGAUGCACCAAACCGUUCCCAGGCACCACGUGUGGCUUUGAAUGCUCGGCGUGGAAAACCUCACUCGAUUCCCGUGGCAAUCCUGAGGGCGAGUGCUUUCCUUCCACCAUGAUCUGCCAUUCCUCCAUGAUCUGCCCUACCACCCCGAUUCAGCACCCCACCUCAGGCCUAGGGCCAUGGAACCAGCCGACCGCAGGGUGCACCUCUGAAACCGUGAACCCAAAAUAAAUGUUUGCCUUCUUUACACUGUUUUUGUGGGGUAUCUCAGUCCCAGUGACAACCAGAUGACUAAUGUUUUGCAGUGAAACUCAGACUUAAAAGAUGCGGCUGGACUGGAA